rnacentral:rRNA from 1 species
GGGUUGUGAGGUUAAGCGACUAAGCGUACACGGUGGAUGCCCUGGCAGUCAGAGGCGAUGAAGGGCGUGCUAAUCUGCGAUAAGCGUCGGCGAGGUGAUAUGAACCUUUGACCCGGCGAUACCCGAAUGGGGAAACCCAGUGUGUUCCGACACACUAUCAUGUCAUGAAUACAUAGUGGCAUGAGGCGAACCGGGGGAACUGAAACAUCUAAGUACCCCGAGGAAAAGAAAUCAACCGAGAUUCCCCCAGUAGCGGCGAGCGAACGGGGAGGAGCCCAGAGUCUGAAUCAGCGCGUGUGUUAGUGGAAGCGUCUGGAAAGUCGCACGAUACAGGGUGAAAGUCCCGUACACAAAAAUGCACACGCUGUGAACUCGAAGAGUAGGGCGGGACACGUGGUAUCCUGUCUGAAUAUGGGGGGACCAUCCUCCAAGGCUAAAUACUCCUGACUGACCGAUAGUGAACCAGUACCGUGAGGGAAAGGCGAAAAGAACCCCGGCGAGGGGAGUGAAAAAGAACCUGAAACCGUGUACGUACAAGCAGUGGGAGCCUCUUUUAUGGGGUGACUGCGUACCUUUUGUAUAAUGGGUCAGCGACUUAUAUUCUGUAGCAAGGUUAACCGUAUAGGGGAGCCGAAGGGAAACCGAGUCUUAACUGGGCGUUAAGUUGCAGGGUAUAGACCCGAAACCCGGUGAUCUAGCCAUGGGCAGGUUGAAGGUUGGGUAACACUAACUGGAGGACCGAACCGACUAAUGUUGAAAAAUUAGCGGAUGACUUGUGGCUGGGGGUGAAAGGCCAAUCAAACCGGGAGAUAGCUGGUUCUCCCCGAAAGCUAUUUAGGUAGCGCCUCGUGAACUCAUCUUCGGGGGUAGAGCACUGUUUCGGCUAGGGGGCCAUCCCGGCUUACCAACCCGAUGCAAACUACGAAUACCGAAGAAUGUUAUCACGGGAGACACACGGCGGGUGCUAACGUCCGUCGUGAAGAGGGAAACAACCCAGACCGCCAGCUAAGGUCCCAAAGUCAUGGUUAAGUGGGAAACGAUGUGGGAAGGCACAGACAGCCAGGAUGUUGGCUUAGAAGCAGCCAUCAUUUAAAGAAAGCGUAAUAGCUCACUGGUCGAGUCGGCCUGCGCGGAAGAUGUAACGGGGCUAAACCAUGCACCGAAGCUGCGGCAGCGACACUUAGGUGUUGUUGGGUAGGGGAGCGUUCUGUAAGCCGUUGAAGGUGUGCUGUGAGGCAUGCUGGAGGUAUCAGAAGUGCGAAUGCUGACAUAAGUAACGAUAAAGCGGGUGAAAAGCCCGCUCGCCGGAAGACCAAGGGUUCCUGUCCAACGUUAAUCGGGGCAGGGUGAGUCGACCCCUAAGGCGAGGCCGAAAGGCGUAGUCGAUGGGAAACAGGUUAAUAUUCCUGUACUUGGUGUUACUGCGAAGGGGGGACGGAGAAGGCUAUGUUAGCCGGGCGACGGUUGUCCCGGUUUAAGCAUGUAGGCGGAGGUUCCAGGUAAAUCCGGUACCUUAUUAACGCUGAGGUGUGAUGACGAGGCACUACGGUGCUGAAGUAACAAAUGCCCUGCUUCCAGGAAAAGCCUCUAAGCAUCAGGUAACAUCAAAUCGUACCCCAAACCGACACAGGUGGUCAGGUAGAGAAUACCAAGGCGCUUGAGAGAACUCGGGUGAAGGAACUAGGCAAAAUGGUGCCGUAACUUCGGGAGAAGGCACGCUGGUGUGUAGGUGAAGUCCCUGCGGACGGAGCUGAAACCAGUCGAAGAUACCAGCUGGCUGCAACUGUUUAUUAAAAACACAGCACUGUGCAAACACGAAAGUGGACGUAUACGGUGUGACGCCUGCCCGGUGCCGGAAGGUUAAUUGAUGGGGUUAGCGGCAACGCGAAGCUCUUGAUCGAAGCCCCGGUAAACGGCGGCCGUAACUAUAACGGUCCUAAGGUAGCGAAAUUCCUUGUCGGGUAAGUUCCGACCUGCACGAAUGGCGUAAUGAUGGCCAGGCUGUCUCCACCCGAGACUCAGUGAAAUUGAACUCGCUGUGAAGAUGCAGUGUACCCGCGGCAAGACGGAAAGACCCCGUGAACCUUUACUAUAGCUUGACACUGAACACUGGUCCUUGAUGUGUAGGAUAGGUGGGAGGCUUUGAAGCGUGGACGCCAGUCUGCGUGGAGCCAACCUUGAAAUACCACCCUUUAAUGGCUGGUGUUCUAACGUAGACCCGUAAUCCGGGUUGCGGACAGUGUCUGGUGGGUAGUUUGACUGGGGCGGUCUCCUCCUAAAGAGUAACGGAGGAGCACGAAGGUUAGCUAAUCCUGGUCGGACAUCAGGAGGUUAGUGCAAUGGCAUAAGCUAGCUUGACUGCGAGAGUGACGGCUCGAGCAGGUGCGAAAGCAGGUCAUAGUGAUCCGGUGGUUCUGAAUGGAAGGGCCAUCGCUCAACGGAUAAAAGGUACUCCGGGGAUAACAGGCUGAUACCGCCCAAGAGUUCAUAUCGACGGCGGUGUUUGGCACCUCGAUGUCGGCUCAUCACAUCCUGGGGCUGAAGUAGGUCCCAAGGGUACGGCUGUUCGCCGUUUAAAGUGGUACGCGAGCUGGGUUUAGAACGUCGUGAGACAGUUCGGUCCCUAUCUGCCGUGGGCGCUGGAGAAUUGAGGGGGGCUGCUCCUAGUACGAGAGGACCGGAGUGGACGCAUCACUGGUGUUCGGGUUGUCAUGCCAAUGGCAUUGCCCGGUAGCUAAAUGCGGAAAAGAUAAGUGCUGAAAGCAUCUAAGCACGAAACUUGCCCCGAGAUGAGUUCUCCCUGACUCCUUGAGAGUCCUGAAGGAACGUUGAAGACUACGACGUUGAUAGGCUGGGUGUGUAAGUGCAGCGAUGUAUUGAGCUAACCAGUACUAAUGAACCGUGAGGCUUAACCUUACAACGCCGAAG